rnacentral:rRNA from 1 species
UCAAGCUAAUAAGGGCAUAGGGUGAAUGCCUAGGCACCAGUAGCCGACGAAGGACGGGAUAAGCACCGAUAUGCCUCGGGGAGUCGCAAAUAGGCGUUGAUCCGGGGAUUUCCGAAUGGGGAAACCCACUUGAGAGAACCUCAAGUAUUCCUUGCUGAACACAUAGGCAAGGAAAGGAACACCAGGGGAACUGAAACAUCUAAGUAUCCUGAGGAAAAGAAAGAAAACUCGAUUCCCUCAGUAGCGGCGAGCGAAGGGGGAAGAGCCCAAACCGAGUACUAGUACUCGGGGUUGUGGACACAACAUAAAGGAUGAAUUUAAGUAGUCGAAGGGCCUGGAAAGGUCCACCACAGAAGGUGACAGUCCUGUAGGCGAAACUUAAAAGACUCCUAGUUGUGCUCCAGAGUACCACGGGGCACGUGAAAUCCUGUGGGAAGCAGGGAGGACCACCUCCCAAGGCUAAAUACUAACUGGUGACCGAUAGAGAACAAGUACCGUGAGGGAAAGGUGAAAAGAACCCCGGGAGGGGAGUGAAAUAGAACCUGAAACCCUAUGCCUACAAGCAGUGGAAGCUCUAUUAAAAAGAGUAACCGCGUACUUUUUGUAGAACGGGCCAGCGAGUUAUGGUAUACAGCAAGGUUAAAUACUUAAGGUAUGAAGCCGUAGGGAAACCGAGUCUUAACAGGGCGAUAAGUUGUAUGCCAUAGACCCGAAACCGGGUGACCUACCCAUGGGCAGAGUGAAGUUGAAGUAAAAUUCAAUGGAGGCUCGAACCCAUUAGCGUUUAAAAGCUAUGGGAUGACCUGUGGGUAGGGGUGAAAAGCCAAUCGAACUCGGAGAUAGCUGGUUCUCCUCGAAAUAGCUUUAGGGCUAGCCUCGAGCAAGUGAACAGGAGGUAGAGCACUGACUGGUCAAGGGGCACAUAGUGCUACCAAAACCUAUCAAACUCCGAAUGCCGUCCUCAUGAUGCUCGGGAGUCAGACUACGUGGGAUAAGCUUCGUAGUCAAAAGGGAAAGAGCCCAGACCACCAGCUAAGGUCCCUAAAUCCAAAUUAAGUGGCAAAGGAUGUAAGGUUACACAGACAACCAGGAUGUUGGCUUAGAAGCAGCCAUACAUUUAAAGAGUGCGUAAUAGCUCACUGGUCGAGUGACCUUGCGCCAAAGAUUUCCGGGGCUUAAAUUUGGUACCGAAGCUGUGGAACGCGUAAGCGUUGGUAGAGGAGCGUUCUGUAUGGGCAGAAGCCAUACCGUAAGGAGUGGUGGACUAUACAGAAGCGAGAAUGCUGGCAUAAGUAGCGAGAGGAGGGUGAGAAUCCCUCCCGUCGAAAGCCUAAGGAUUCCUGAGGAAGGCUCGUCCCCUCAGGGUUAGUCGGGACCUAAGCUGAGGCCGAAAGGCGUAGGCGAUGGACAACAGGUUGAGAUUCCUGUACUACCUAAAGGCGUUUGAGAGAAGGGGAGACGCAGGAGGAUAGGCUGAGCGCACCGUUGGUAGAGUGCGUCUAAGCAAGUAGGGAGUUAAGACAGGAAAAACCGUCUUAACAAUCCUGAGAUGCGAAUGGGAGUGAAAAACAAGUAGCGAAGCAGCCGACUCCACACUGCCAAGAAAAGCCUCUAUCGAGCCUAAAGGUACCCGUACCGCAAACCGACACAGGUAGGCGAGGAGAGAAUCCUAAGACGCGCGGAAGAACCUUUGUUAAGGAACUCGGCAAAAUAGCCCCGUAACUUCGGGAGAAGGGGUGCCAGCUGAGGUUAAACUUAGACAGUGUAAGCCAAAGCUGGCCGCAGUGAAUAGGCCCAAGCGACUGUUUACCAAAAACAUAAGUCUCUGCUAAAUCGAAAGAUGAAGUAUAGGGGCUGACACCUGCCCGGUGCUGGAAGGUUAAGGGGAAGAGUUAGCGUAAAGCGAAGCUUGGAACUUAAGCCCCAGUAAACGGCGGCCGUAACUAUAACGGUCCUAAGGUAGCGAAAUUCCUUGUCGGGUAAGUUCCGACC